rnacentral:rRNA from 1 species
GAUGAACGCUGGCGGCGUGCCUAAUACAUGCAAGUCGAGCGAAUGGAUUAAGAGCUUGCUCUUAUGAAGUUAGCGGCGGACGGGUGAGUAACACGUGGGUAACCUGCCCAUAAGAUUGGGAUAACUCCGGGAAACCGGGGCUAAUACCGGAUAACAUUUUGAACCGCAUGGUUCGAAAUUGAAAGGCGGCUUCGGCUGUCACUUAUGGAUGGACCCGCGUCGCAUUAGCUAGUUGGUGAGGUAACGGCUCACCAAGGCAACGAUGCGUAGCCGACCGGAGAGGGUGAUCGGCCACACUGGGAAUGAGACACGGCCCAGACGACUACGGGAGGCAGCAGUAGGGAAUCUUCCGCAAUGGACGAAAGUCUGACGGAGCAACGCCGCGUGAGUGAUGAAGGCUUUCGGGUCGUAAAACUCUGUUGUUAGGGAAGAACAAGUGCUAGUUGAAUAAGCUGACACCUUGACGGUACCUAACCAGAAAGCCACGGCUAACUACGUGCCAGCCGCCGCGGUAA